rnacentral:rRNA from 1 species
CUUGGUCAUUUAGAGGAAGUAAAAGUCGUAACAAGGUCUCCGUAGGUGAACCUGCGGAGGGAUCAUUACAAGUGACCCCGGUCUUACCACCGGGAUAUUCAUAACCCUUUGUUGUCCGACUCUGUUGCCUCCGGGGCGACCCUGCCUUCGGGCGGGGGCUCCGGGUGGACACUUCAAACUCUUGCGUAACUUUGCAGUCUGAGUAAACUUAAUUAAUAAAUUAAAACUUUUAACAACGGAUCUCUUGGUUCUGGCAUCGAUGAAGAACGCAGCGAAAUGCGAUAAGUAAUGUGAAUUGCAGAAUUCAGUGAAUCAUCGAAUCUUUGAACGCACAUUGCGCCCCCUGGUAUUCCGGGGGGCAUGCCUGUUCGAGCGUCAUUUCACCACUCAAGCCUCGCUUGGUAUUGGGCAACGCGGUCCGCCGCGUGCCUCAAAUCGUCCGGCUGGGUCUUCUGUCCCCUAAGCGUUGUGGAAACUAUUCGCUAAAGGGUGUUCGGGAGGCUACGCCGUAAAACAACCCCAUUUCUAAGGUUGACCUCGGAUCAGGUAGGGAUACCCGCUGAACUUAAGCAUAUCAAUAAGCGGAGGA